rnacentral:rRNA from 1 species
CGUGGGUAACCUGCCCAAGAGAUCGGGAUAACACCCGGAAACAGAUGCUAAUACCGGAUAACAACAGAUGAUGCCUAUCAACUGUUUAAAAGAUGGUUCUGCUAUCACUCUUGGAUGGACCUGCGGUGCAUUAGCUAGUUGGUAGGGUAACGGCCUACCAAAGCGAUGAUGCAUAGCCGAGUUGAGAGACUGAUCGGCCACAUUGGGACUGAGACACGGCCCAAACUCCUACGGGAGGCAGCAGUU